UCCACCUAAACCUAGCCCCAAAAUGGCUUCUCCCACCAAAAGACAGCCUUCUUCUUCCUAGAUGCCUCUCUUCCUGCCAAAAGAUACUUGCUCCCUUCCUGGCAACCAGUGAUGUCAUAGGAUCCUCCAAUUUUUUGAUAUCCAUUCCCUCAUUUUGGAAGUCUUCCCCUGAGAUUACUGGACAGAGUCAGGACCUGCCUCCCCCAUCAGACCCACUACCUGCAUCCACAGGAGCACAGAGAUAAGAAGCCAGCAACCACCCUGCUGCUCUCACCACCACCCUGUUUAUCAGCCAGCCCCAGGCCCAUCACCCAUGGAACUCUAAAAUUUUCCACCCUCUUGACCAGUGCCCCCGCAAAUGCCCCAUAUAACCAUGAGCACCCUCCUCUCAGUGCCAAUGGCCUUCUCACCCUUGGCCCAUCUGCACCCAGAUGGCAAUAAACUCAUCAC
rnacentral:lncRNA from 1 species